CCUACGGGUGGCUGCAGUGGGGAAUAUUGCACAAUGGGCGCAAGCCUGAUGCAGCCAUGCCGCGUGUGUGAAGAAGGCCUUUGGGUUGUAAAGCACUUUCAGCGGGGAGGAAGGCGGUGAGGUUAAUAACCUCAUCGAUUGACGUUACCCGCAGAAGAAGCACCGGCUAACUCCGUGCCAGCAGCCGCGGUAAUACGGAGGGUGCAAGCGUUAAUCGGAAUUACUGGGCGUAAAGCGCACGCAGGCGGUCUGUCAAGUCGGAUGUGAAAUCCCCGGGCUCAACCUGGGAACUGCAUUCGAAACUGGCAGGCUAGAGUCUUGUAGAGGGGGGUAGAAUUCCAGGUGUAGCGGUGAAAUGCGUAGAGAUCUGGAGGAAUACCGGUGGCGAAGGCGGCCCCCUGGACAAAGACUGACGCUCAGGUGCGAAAGCGUGGGGAGCAAACAGGAUUAGAUACCCCGGCAGUC
rnacentral:rRNA from 1 species